GGGAAUACGCUCUGGAAACGGAGAACAAAUCCCGAUGUACAGGAAGGAGGCAUCUUCUUUCUGUGAAACAUCCUUUAGGGGAUGGGGCGCGGAUGGACCUGCGGUGCAUUAGUUGGUUGGCGGGGUAAAGGCCCACCAAGACGAUGAUGCAUAGCCGGCCUGAGAGGGCGGACGGCCACAUUGGGACUGAGACACGGCCCAGACUCCUGCGGGAGGCAGCAGUAGGGAAUUUUCGUCAAUGGGCGCAAGCCUGAACGAGCGAUGCCGCGUGAGUGAAGAAGGCCUUCGGGUCGUAAAGCUCUGCUGCGGGGGAAAAAAGGCAGCAUCAGGAAAUGGGUGCUGACUGAUGGUGCCCCGCCAGAAAGUCACGGCUAACUACGUGCCAGCAGCCGCGGUAAUACGUAGGUGGCGAGCGUUAUCCGGAAUGAUUGGGCGUAAAGGGUGCGCAGGCGGUCCUGCAAGUCUGGAGUGAAACGCAUGAGCUCAACUCAUGCAUGGCUUUGGAAACUGGAGGACUGGAGAGCAGGAGAGGGCGGUGGAACUCCAUGUGUAGCGGUAAAAUGCGUAGAUAUAUGGAAGAACACCAGUGGCGAAGGCGGCCGCCUGGCCUGUUGCUGACGCUGAGGCACGAAAGCGUGGGGAGCAAAUAGGAUUAGAUACCCUAGUAGUCCACGCCGUAAACGAAGAG
rnacentral:rRNA from 1 species